rnacentral:tRNA from 1 species
GUUUUGGUAGUUUAAUCAUAAAAUGCGGUUUUGAAGCAGCUGAGAUAGUUUAAUUAACUUUAAAACA